GGUUGUCAUUUCUAAAAAAAGUUUAAACUUUAUUUUUGGGGUUUAAAUCCAAUGCACUAGUCUGCC
rnacentral:rRNA from 1 species